UCUGCCCCUAGAGGUGUUGCAGGUGUGGCUGCUGUGUCACAGGUGCAUCAGUGGGUGACAGAGAGGAGAGAGGCUAUGUCUACAUUGAGUGUUCUGACCUGUGACCAUCUGAAUGAUUAGUAGCCUAACAUU